UUGCACAGCCUGUUUGAGCUAAGGAGCUGC
rnacentral:piRNA from 1 species